rnacentral:tRNA from 1 species
GCGGGUGUAGCUCAGCUGGUAGAGCUCCAGCCUUCCAAGCUGGUUGUCGCGGGUUCGACUCCCGUCGCCCGCUCCA